rnacentral:rRNA from 2 species
UGGGGAAUAUUGGACAAUGGGCGAAAGCCUGAUCCAGCCAUGCCGCGUGAGUGAUGAAGGCCUUAGGGUUGUAAAGCUCUUUCAGUAGGGAAGAUAAUGACGGUACCUACAGAAGAAGCCCCGGCUAACUUCGUGCCAGCAGCCGCGGUAAUACGAGGGGGGCUAGCGUUGUUCGGAUUUACUGGGCGUAAAGCGCACGUAGGCGGAUCGUUAAGUCAGGGGUGAAAUCCCAGAGCUCAACUCUGGAACUGCCCUUGAUACUGGCGAUCUUGAGUCCGGAAGAGGUGAGUGGAACUCCUAGUGUAGAGGUGGAAUUCGUAGAUAUUAGGAAGAACACCAGUGGCGAAGGCGGCUCACUGGUCCGGUACUGACGCUGAGGUGCGAAAGCGUGGGGAGCAAACAGG